rnacentral:lncRNA from 1 species
CUAGCACUUUUAAGGGCUUACAACUCUAAAGGGUCUACGUGAAAAAGUCAUAAUAGAUCAAGUAAGCCUGAGGAACGUGACUGGGGGCUACAUACUUCAGCUAACAGAACAAAAAGUUUUUACAGUGCUUUCUCAUACAAUGUCUGGGAUUUACAGAUAACACCUGUAGUUUUGGUCAGGGGUUAAUAUUAUUGUCAUUUUAACCACCAGGGCCAGGUGGUGGCGCCAAGGUCAUCUGGCUAUUUAUUUUACUUCUGUUUUUUCCAACUUUUUGCUUUCUCCCUUUUUUGCUGUCUUACAAACUAGGGAAAAGGGGAGGUUGGGGAGAAACUGGGAAGGACAACAGGAGACGUGGUGGUCUCACACCAUAUUUCCCCCCUUUGAGCAUUUUCACUUUUUAGUGGGAGUUCUCACUCUCAUCUUUACUUUUUGAGUCUAUUGGUGAGAUAGAGCGAUACUGAUUCAUAUAACACACGUGUGCUGAAGUUUUCUGAUGAACCAAAGUAGCUACAAAACCUUUUAUCAUUUGAAAAAGCAAGGGUAAUACACAGGGGAGCAGCAAGCAAGCUCCUAUCACUAGCAAUACACCUACAAUGAGGGUUUUAAAUCCUGCUAUAGCUGGAAACCAUUUUUCAAAUAAAGACUCAGGAUUAAACUCGUGCCAAACCUGUACAGGCACAUGUGCCACCUUUGUCAUGUCCCUGACUAUGUUUUUAACCACCUGUCCUUGAUCAUUUAUUUGUAGGCAGCAAUUGGUUAAGUUAAAUUUUCCACAAACUCCUCCUUCAGCUACUAGCAAGUAGUCUAAGGCCAGUCUAUUCUGAUAGAUAGCAUUCCUCAUUUGGGUUUCUUGCCAAGCUAAAACAGUCAAAGCUCUGCCAGUUUCAUUAGUAAUUAUUUCUAAGAUGGCCUGCAACCGUAUGAUCCAAUUGAGCAUGUAGAUGGGGGUUCGGUAUCCCCAUGAGCCGUCUUGUGCCCAUGUGGCAGGCCCAUAAUACUGAAUGAUCCUUUCAGGGGGCCACUCAUUCUCCUUCCAGUUUCCUAUAACUAUGCCUUUCUUUUCUCGGGCGGCGUAGACAGGGAAACCUAGGAGCUCACCCGUUUUUAUGGGUAAUAAGAAAAAGGAUGGCUUAAUAGUGUCAAUAACACAACUGCCUGCCCAUUUAUUAGGUAACCGAAUGUAGGCUCUGUGCCUACAUAUCUAGUAUAGUCCAGCGGGAACCGUCCAGUCCUGAUGAGAUUCUGGAUGAGCCUAAGCAGUUUUUAAUUUAGAAAAUUUACUAAAUGGAUUCUUUUCAGUGUGGUUUAGGCCCUACUAAGUAAUUGUCUGUAUUGUGCUGUUAUACAACUUCUGUCCUAUACAAUUAAGCUUUCCUACAGGGAUGAUAAAGUCUUUCCCUUCUCUAGCUCUACAGUAUUGUCUAAUAAUUGAGGUUUUUAGGACCUAGAAGUUGCUAGCUUCGGCCUUCUGAACUGGAAUUAUAUCAGGAGCUGGAUCAGUAGGCACCAACUCUUGGGCUUCCCAAGGCCAUCUGUCUCCGAUAGUGGUUCCUCCGCGUACAUAACAAGAAGUAACAGUUAUGUAAGUAAGAAAAUUACAUUUUCUGCUAAUUGGAGAAACAAAUUUUUUGUCUUUUUCAGAAGUUCUGGUGCUGGCACAUUCAGCUCCUCAUAAAAGGUUUGAAAUACUGGUUUGGGAGAGCACUUGUGGACCUCCCCUCUAAUUACAAUGGCAACUUGAGGGUUUAACCCUGUCCUAUUGAUCCCCAGGGUUACACGUUCUCCCUUUUUCCAACGGGGAUCUAGGGGAUUGGUAAUUAUUAGUUCUAGUGGGUUACAGUGACUGGCAGCACAGGAGGGGUUGGCUUCCCCCUUCUGAAGAUAAACCGGUUCCUUUUUGUUCUUUUUUUAAGUAGCCUAAAUAACACAUGGCCAAUAGGCACAAUUUUUACAAACCCCUGACUCAUGACAAACAUAUUUAUUUUCUACUCUUUAGCUCCUUUCUCAGUUAAGAGAACCACAUCCUAUUUCUAGCUUUUUACUAUUAAUGGCUGCACAAGCAUCAAAUCUUAAAGUUAUUUGCUUGGGAAUUUCUUUUUCUUCUGUUCUAGUUAUUAUUUUACUUGUAUCACCUAGGAAAAGGCCAGUUCUUAUUCUUAUUUCAAAAACGGUGGUUGCGGAGGGCUCAGAUGGGUUAUAACACGCAUCAGGUCGGUCAUUUCUCGGGCUACAUACCUUGCACUGAGUGGCAUUAUACAAACAAGUUUCUUUUAUUGUUUCCACACAUUCAUAAUAACUAUAGAACAGAAAGAUUGUUUUAAUUUGCUGUCCUACUUCGGUGACCUGAUGAAUACACUGGGAACAGUCCCCAGUUUGAGUAAGAUCAGUUGAAGCCCUUACUGUAUAAGUCCAAAAUUUAAGAAAAAUGAAUCUCACGAUGAGCUUCCUCAGGCUUCGGCCGUGCGUGGACCAGUCAGCUUCCGGGUGUGACUGGAGCAGGGCUUGUCGUCUUCUUCAGGGUCACUCUGAAAGGGUUGUCUGGGCUUGGUCUUGCCUCCCAGGUUUCACGCGCUGCAGGUUUUACAUGGCUGUGGUGGAUCCAGGCUGGGAUUCCUUCUACCUUCACAGCGGUGGGAGGGCUCAGAACGACAGUCUGGGGUCCUUUCCACAGUGGACACAAAGAGGCUACGUUCCAGUUCUUGAUCCACACUCGAUCACCUGGGGAGAAAGGGUGAACUGGGGAGAAUAAGCUAACAGGCCAUUUACUCGGGCUGAGAUUGUUUGUGUAAUUUUUCCUAAGGCCUGUAGCUGUCGCUGUAACUCAAUUUCACCUAACUCUCAGGGAGUGCCUGGAAGUCCCCGCAAUAUAGGAGGGGGCCUAUGAUAUAAUAUUUCAUAAGGGGAAUAUCCUGCUCUUUUAGAAGUGGUACAUCUAAUUUUAAAUAAUACCAUAGGGAGAGCCUGUAUCCAUUUUAAUCCUGUUUCCUGACAUACUUUCCCUAAACUAUUUUUGAUAGUUUGAUUCAUUCGCUCCACCUUUCCGGAACUCUGAGGCCAGUAGGCAGCAUGCAGUUUCCAUGUGAUCCGUAAUAUCUUUGCCGCCUUCUGUACUAAGUCAGCCACAAAUGCCGGCCUGUUAUCUGAGCCGAUCCGUAAGGGCAGUUCAAAUCUAGGAAGAAGAUCUCGAAGAAGCACACGAGUUACUUCACGAGCUUUCUCAGUUCGUGUUGGAUAAGCCUCCACCUACCCAGAGUAGGUACGCCCAAGAACUAGUAAAUACUUGUUACCUCUACACUUUGACAUCUCUGUGAAGUCCACCUGGAGAUCUUCAAAGGGGGCUGCUCCAUAAGCUUGUAUGCCGGGUGGAACGGCUGGACAUUGCCUAGCAUUAUGCUGUGGGCAGGUAACACACCACUGCGUCACCGUUUUGGCAAGAGCUGACAAAUGCGAGAUGUAGAAAUACCGGCCUAACAACUUUUCAAUUGACUCCUGACCUCGAUGGGUGGUUUCAUGCACAGCCAGUACAACUGCAGCUCCUAGCAGCUGUGGCGCAUCUUCUCUCCCUUCCGGUAACCGAAUCCAUCCUUCCUCCAUCACUUGUCCUCUCUCUGCCUGGAGGAAGUCCUUUUCUUCUUUAGAAUAAGGCUUCUCAACCAGGGGGUGAUUUUGCCCCCCAGAGAACAUGUGGCCAUGUCUGGAGACAAUUUUGGUUGUUGCGGCUGGAGGAGGUGGUGCUACUGGCAGCUAAUGGGUAGAGGCCAGCGAUGCUGCUAAGCAUCCUACAAUGCCCCGGACAACUCCCACUAAGACAGAAUAAUGAUCCAGCCCCAAAUGUCAAUAGUGCU